UACAGUACAACAGCCACCACAGAAUAAAACCCGACGCGUCCUUUCGCUAGCUGCAAUCAAUAGGCGUGUCACGCACUCACGUGUUCGUCCCACUUCCAAGAGAGGAAAUGCCCGUCUCCAAAAGAAAAGGAAAAUAUUCCGUUGCAAACAUGGCGUAUCCGUUUGUUCCUCUGCUCCCACAGACCCACACGCACAACGAACUAGAUCCAGAAACAAAAACGGCACG
rnacentral:lncRNA from 1 species